AUGUCAUCCUAAUUUAGAUUAGACACUUUUCUUCCUACUCAUCAUCAUCAUCAUCAUAGUCUUUAUCAUCAUUACUUGAAACUUAUCCUCUUUCAUAUUUGUCCAUAAAUAUUUCAGCAUAAAUCUUGGUUUUUUAGUUGAGAUUAGUGAAUGUUGAGAUUCAGUUGAAUGUGAAGAACCAAGUUGCCUGUGUUGCUAAUAAUGAUGUUAAUCAAUUUUCUUUUCGCAACAGUUAAUUUGUUACUUGAUUGUGAACAAAAUCUAAUUUCAUUGAUAAUGUCCAAGAAUCUGUCUGGUUAGGAAAUCACUGAAAUAUCCUUGAUUAUCUGGUAUGGUUUUAGGAUGAGUUACAGUAAUUUUUUCACGCCACAUUGAAUACAACAGACAGCCUUAGUACAUUUUUUCUGUUCUGAUCAAUAAGCUAGAUUAAUUAAUUGUCAAUAAUAAUUGAGACAAGGCUAACAACGAAGAUGAUAAGGUUACACUAUUUUACAUUCAGCUUGAUUAUUCAAAUAAAUCCAAUAGCUUUGAUAAUUUAACCAAAUGGAAACAUUAAUAAUAAAUAUCUGAUUUUAAUUUAACCGCUACAUCAAGAGAUGGCAAUGAAAUUUAUAUGAGGUCAUCAAUGGUUGCCAUGGUUAAUAUUGUUGACUAUUUCAAGUUUAUUGUUACCAUUAUACACAUGAUUAUGGUUAUGAUUAUGAUUGUGAUUAGUGAUUAAAUGUUGCUUUAAUGGAAGCGCAAUUUUAUGUGUUAUUGAUGUUGCUCGUUGAACACGCGUUUCAAUGAAAACCAUGUAAACUUUUUCCACUUAUCUCCACCUUCAGAGUCUCUUUGCUCAUCUUACUUACCAAUGCAUAACAAAGUUACAUUAACCUGGCCCUUUUGGUACGAUCAACUGUUAAUUUCAUCAUCCUGAGUGGAGUCAAAUUGAACAUGGAUCAAGAUUAACCUUCCCUCUGUGUGUGUAUAUGCAUAUUGUACAUGCAUUGUGUACAUCUAAUUCUGGGCUUUGGUCUUGAUGUUCAUUCUGCUAUUUAAUCAUUUGUUGACAUUUACAGUAAAAAUAUUGAAAGUUGAUUGGAGUUGAUCACAUUUUUCUGGCACAAUUGUCUUUUUGCUGCUAUUAUCAAUAUUGUCAACGGAUUUGAUGGUAAACUGUAAAAGUGGUAAAGUUUUUCAUCUAUUGUUUUGUACCAAUGCCAAUGAAUAAAUGAUUGGUCCAAUUGAGUAA